rnacentral:rRNA from 1 species
UAAGCGGAGGAAAAGAAACUAACAAGGAUUCCCCUAGUAACUGCGAGUGAAGCGGGAAAAGCUCAAAUUUAAAAUCUGGUGGUCUUUGGCCAUCCGAGUUGUAAUUUAGAGAAGCGUCUUUCCGCGCUGGACCGUGCACAAGUCUCCUGGAAUGGAGCGUCAUAGAGGGUGAGAAUCCCGUCUUUGGCAUGGAAUCCCAGGGCUUCUGUGAUGCGCUCUCGACGAGUCGAGUUGUUUGGGAAUGCAGCUCAAAAUGGGUGGUGAACUCCAUCUAAAGCUAAAUAUUGGCGAGAGACCGAUAGCGAACAAGUACCGUGAGGGAAAGAUGAAAAGCACUUUGGAAAGAGAGUGAAACAGUACGUGAAAUUGUUGAAAGGGAAACGCUUGAAGUCAGUCGCGUCGACCGAGACUCAGCCUUGCCUCGGCUUGGUGUACUUCUCGGCUGACGGGUCAGCAUCGAUUUCGAUCCUCGGAUAAUGGCAAGGGAAAGGUAGCACCUUUUUAGGUGUGUUAUAGUCCUCUGUCGCAUGCGAGGGUCGGGAUCGAGGAACUCAGCACGCACCUCAGGGUGUCGGGGCCUUGGCCCACGUUUACGUGCUUAGGAUGCUGGCGUAAUGGCUUUAAACGACC